rnacentral:lncRNA from 1 species
CUCUUCUUGAUGAUACUGAUGUUACAGAUGCUUCCUUAAUGACCUUGACCACACAGUCAAAUGUUACAGCUUGUUUAAUUUAAAUGUCUGCGUUGUUUCUGUCUUCAGACCAGCCGACGCUUCACACGGACCUCGGUCCUUGUGCACAGCUUCCACUGGUCCUGUCCCAGGCCGAUCUUGAAGAGGGUCGCGGCAACACCCAUGUCCCGUUCCAAGCCUCGCUCUGUAAGUAGGAAACCACACUGACAACAUAGAUAGGCCAUUAGCAUGCUCUCAAAACAACGUACAAAACUUUUAUAGUCUGAAUGAUUUUAAUUACAGAAAUAUGUUUAUGAAUUUGUCUUUUUUAAUUUUAAUUUUCUUUAACAUUAAUUUAUUUCAAAGAUGUGAAACCUUCCCCUGGAAAAAUCAUUUCUGCAGACUUCAGAUUUUAUAAUUUGUCGUUUUUUCUGUCUCAGGUCCAAGUGUAGCAGUACAGCCUCGUCCAGAACCAGGAUAAGUCCACUCCUAGGCUGUUACUGAGGAAGGUCCCACCGAUGGACGGCCCUCCACAUUUCUCCUCCCCCAAGCUCAACCAGGUAAGUCACUCUCACUCCUCUUCUGUCUCUCCCUCUUUCUCUCCCUCUCCUCCUGUCUCUCUGAGAAAAAAAGAAAAAAGAAAGAAAAAAGAAAAAAAAAAAAAAAAGAAAAAAGAAAGAAAGAAAAAAAGAAAAAAGAAAGAAAAAAAAGAAAAAAAAAAAAGAAAGAAAGAAAGAAAGAAAAAAGAAAGAAAAAAGAAAGAAAGAAAAAAGAAAGAAAAAAGAAAGAAAAAAAAGAAAGAAAAAAGAAAGAAAGAAAAAAGAAAAAAGAAAGAAAGAAAAAGGAAAGAAAAAAAGAAAGAAAGAAAAAAGAAGAAAAAGAAAAAAGAAAGUAAAAAAAAGAAAAAAGAAAGAAAAAAAAGAAAGAAAAAAUGAAAAAAGAAAGAAAGAAAAAAAAAAAAGAAAGAAAGAAAAAAGAAAAAAAAGACAAAAGAAAGAGAAAAAAGAAAGAAAAAAGAAAUGAAAGAAAAAAAGGAAAGAAAGAAAAAAGAAAAGAAGAAAAAAGAAAGAAAAGAAGAAAGAAAGAAAGAGAGAAAAAACGGACCUCGGUCCUUGUGCACAGCUUCCACUGGUCCUGUCCCAGGCCGAUCUUGAAGAGGGUCGCGGCAACACCCAUGUCCCAUUCCAAGCCUCGCUGUGUAAGUAGGAAACCACACUGACAACAUAGAUAGGCCAUUAGCAUGCCCUCUAAACAACGUACAAAACUUUUAUAGUCUGAAUGAUUUUAAUUACAGAAAUAUGUUUAUGAAUUUGUCUUUUUUAAUUUUAAUUUUCUUUAACAUUAAUUUAUUUCAAAGAUGUGAAACCUUCCCCUGGAAAAAUCAUUUCUGCAGACUUCAGAUUUUAUAAUUUGUCGGUUUUUCUGUCUCAGGUCCAAGUGUAGCAGUACAGCCUCGUCCAGAACCAGGAUAAGUCCACUCCUAGGCUGUUACUGAGGAAGGUCCCACCGAUGGACGGCCCUCCACAUUUCUCCUCCCCCAAGCUCAACCAGGUAAGUCACUCUCACUCCUCUUCUGUCUCUCCCUCUUUCUCUUCCUCUCCUCCUGUCUCUCUGAGAAAAAAAG